CCUCCUAGUGUAAGCUGCUAACAUCACUGGCCCGAUGACUGCCGUAGCCAGCUUACGCUGCUGCCACGCGGCCAGCCUCCAGGCAGAUAUCUGUCUCAAGUAAACAUCCUAUCAUUUCAUUCCCUUCUUAAAAGCUUCAAUGGCUUCCAAAGUCCCACUGCUGCCAAUGAGGCCGUCUCCCUCCCACCUCAUUUCCUGUCGUCACGAUGCUCUAGUCAAAAGGCCCUCUUUUUGUCCCGUCACCAUGCCACAGGGCUUAAUCAUGCCACAGGGUCUCUGCACCUGCUGGCCCCUGCCCAGAAUGCUCCUCUUGUACCUCUUCAAAUACAGAGGUUCCUCCUCCUCCUCCUCACUCAAGUCUUUGUGAAAGUUCUGUCUGAAGGGGCCUCUCUACCCCCAGUCAUUCUAUUAUGUUACACCUUUUCUUUUCUUUGGAGUACUUAUCAAAAUCACAACCACUUAUUUGCUUAUUUAGUGCCAGCUUUGUGGGGGCAGGAACCUUAUCUGUCUAGUUCCAGCUGUAGCUCCAACACCUAGGAAGGGCCUGGCACACAGCUAAUGCUCAAUCAAUAUUUGUUGAGUGAAUAAAUAAAUGUUAUUAUAGAGGGAAAUCUUUCAGGCACAUUGUUAAAUGAAGCAAAGUGUGAAAGAGUGUAUGAAAUGAUUCCUUCCACUGGGAGGAAGAAAAGCUAUAACUGCACAUGGACUUGCACAGGCAUCAAACAGGUCCCAAGAUCUCACAGGAAACAGCAAAUGUUAUCUUUCACAGGUGGAGAGAAUCUUUCAAAUGACAAGCCCUUCUGGACCACUUGAAUAUAUUUUUACUAUGAGUAUAUAUUAC